GGCCCCAUAGCUCAGGGGAUAGAGCAGGAGUUUCCUAAACUCUGUGUCGCAAGUUCGAUUCUUGCUGGGGUCG
rnacentral:tRNA from 1 species